rnacentral:rRNA from 1 species
AUUGAACGCUGGCGGAAUGCUUUACACAUGCAAGUCGAACGGCAGCACGGACUUCGGUCUGGUGGCGAGUGGCGAACGGGUGAGUAAUACAUCGGAACGUGCCCAGUCGUGGGGGAUAACGUAGCGAAAGCUACGCUAAUACCGCAUACGAUCUAAGGAUGAAAGCGGGGGAUCGCAAGACCUCGCGCGAUUGGAGCGGCCGAUGGCAGAUUAGGUAGUUGGUAGGGUAAAGGCCUACCAAGCCGACGAUCUGUAGCUGGUCUGAGAGGACGACAAGCCACACUGGGACUGAGACGCGGCCCAGACUCCUACGGGAGGCAGCAGUGGGGAAUUUUGGACAAUGGACGCAAGUCUGAUCCAGCCAUUCCGCGUGCAGGAUGAAGGCCCUCGGGUUGUAAACUGCUUUUGUACAGAACGAAAAGGCUCUGGUUAAUACCUGGAGCUCAUGACGGUACUGUAAGAAUAAGCACCGGCUAACUACGUGCCAGCAGCCGCCGUAA